AGAGUUUGAUCAUGGCUCAGAGCGAACGCUGGCGGCAGGCUUAACACAUGCNGUCGAGCGCCCCGCAAGGGGAGCGGCAGACGGGUGAGUAACACGUGGGAACGUGCCUUUUGGUUCGGAACAACCCAGGGAAACUUGGGCUAAUACCGGAUAAGCCCUUACGGGGAAAGAUUUAUCGCCAAAAGAUCGGCCCGCGUCUGAUUAGCUAGUUGGUGGGGUAAUGGCCCACCAAGGCUACGAUCAGUAGCUGGUCUGAGAGGAUGAUCAGCCACAUUGGGACUGAGACACGGCCCAAACUCCUACGGGAGGCAGCAGUGGGGAAUAUUGGACAAUGGGGGCAACCCUGAUCCAGCCAUGCCGCGUGAGUGAUGAAGGCCUUAGGGUUGUAAAGCUCUUUUAGCAGGGAAGAUAAUGACGGUACCUGCAGAAAAAGCCCCGGCUAACUUCGUGCCAGCAGCCGCGGUAAUACGAAGGGGGCUAGCGUUGCUCGGAAUCACUGGGCGUAAAGCGCACGUAGGCGGCUUCUUAAGUCAGGGGUGAAAUCCUGGAGCUCAACUCCAGAACUGCCUUUGAUACUGAGAAGCUUGAGUCCGGGAGAGGUGAGUGGAACUGCGAGUGUAGAGGUGAAAUUCGUAGAUAUUCGCAAGAACACCAGUGGCGAAGGCGGCUCACUGGCCCGGUACUGACGCUGAGGUGCGAAAGCGUGGGGAGCAAACAGGAUUAGAUACCCUAGUAGUCC
rnacentral:rRNA from 1 species